GGGGAAUAUUGGACAAUGGGGGGAACCCUGAUCCAGCAAUGCCGCGUGUGUGAAGAAGGCCUGAGGGUUGUAAAGCACUUUCAGUGGGGAGGAGGGUUGACUGGUUAAGAGCUGGUUGACUGGACGUUACCCACAGAAGAAGCACCGGCUAACUCCGUGCCAGCAGCCGCGGUAAUACGGAGGGUGCGAGCGUUAAUCGGAAUUACUGGGCGUAAAGGGUGCGUAGGUGGUUUGAUAAGUUAUCUGUGAAAUUCCUGGGCUUAACCUGGGGUGGUCAGGUGAGACUGUUGGACUUGAGUACGGGAGAGGGCAGUGGAAUUUCCGGUGUAGCGGUGAAAUGCGUAGAGAUCGGAAGGAACACCAGUGGCGAAGGCGGCUGCCUGGCCUGAUACUGACACUGAGGCACGAAAGCGUGGGGAGCAAAC
rnacentral:rRNA from 1 species